CUCACCAGCCGCCCAUGACCAGUUGUUUUCAAUGGGUGACAGACCUGGAUAUCGUGCAAGCUAGGACAGCAGUCGAAUACCCUGUGUAUCGAGGAAGGUCACAGCACGACGUGCAACAUGUGGUCUUGCAUCAUCUUGUUGGAAUAUAGCGUUUGGAGGCCUCGAAGAUAGGGUUCAAAAACUGGACGUAAGAUGUCAGAAAUGCACCCAUCUGUAUUCAAAUUGCCGUCGAAUCCGAACUAGAGAUGUGCGUAUCGUGUACGCAAUGGCUGCCCAAACUAUCACACCAGGUACAGGGCCUAUACCGAUAUCGAAUGCAAGCUAGUGAACUGCUGUCUCCUCUAACACUUCAGACACGUUAAUAAUAAAUACGAAUAGAAUAACAGAAUGCAUAUGAUGGAAUUCAUAUACAGAAGAGAUUAGGAGAAAUUGCCUAAGACAUCUAGUCCUUGAUUACGCUAAGAGUAUUUGUCUACUGCUGAUUUUCCUUGCAAAUAUCGUAAAUAGGUGAAAUAUAAAUCCGAAUUUAUGCCUGCGCUUUUAAAUGAUGACAAUCACAAAGCAAUAUGGAUCCCGAAUACAUGUUUGAACAUGAAGACUUAACUUUGCAUGAUCAAUUGAUUGAUAUUAUGGACUUUGGGGAUUUGAGACCAUCGCAGCUGGAUUCAUGUUUUGUUGAUACCUUUACUUUGACUUGUCUUGAAUAUAAUAAAAGCUUUUAGACAACGGAGGAAUUUAAUGCGUCACAUUAAUGUUCAACAUUCGACAGGCAGAAAUAUUUGUUCCAUCCACCAGAAUAUCUUUCGAAGCUCAGAUAAACUGGAUCGUCAUAUGAAGGUUCAUUCGAAAACACUGAAGCCGGGACCAUACAGUGAAACGAGUAGUUCGGCCGCCUUCAAGCCUGUCCUAAACGAGCUCUCCAGGAACGCUCACUUUGAAUUUUCGACGCGGAGGUCAUUUAUCUCAAUGAAGCCACUAGCAAGAACUUGCAAAUCUUUUAAAAUUCAUCAAAAACAAAAAUCUUGAACAAAAUUCUAGAAGCUGACCAGAGCUUAAAUUGCGCCGGAGCUCGGCUCCGGUACUUCUUAGUUUUGGGGACAUACUCUAAUUCUAGCCGGAGCCCUAAAUAAGAAGGCUCUGUCAC